GGGUGAAGCAGGUCUGCCUGGCAAACCCGGAGACAGGGGCCCACGGGGCCUCCCUGGCUACCGUGGUCCCCCUGGGGAGAAAGGUGACCCCGGGGAGCCAGGUCUCGAAGGCAGGAAUGGCAGCCCUGGAGCACCAGGGAGCAAGGGUGACCGUGGGGAGCCGGGGCUUCCUGGACCCCCAGGACGAAGUGU